UAUGGCGACCGGCGCACGGGUGAGUAACACGUAUCCAACCUGCCGAUGACUCGGGGAUAGCCUUUCGAAAGAAAGAUUAAUACCCGAUGGCAUAGUUCUUCCGCAUGGUAGAACUAUUAAAGAAUUUCGGUCAUCGAUGGGGAUGCGUUCCAUUAGGUUGUUGGCGGGGUAACGGCCCACCAAGCCUUCGAUGGAUAGGGGUUCUGAGAGGAAGGCCCCCCACAUUGGAACUGAGACACGGUCCAA
rnacentral:rRNA from 1 species